GUACGCGCGGAUCUUCCAGAGAUUAGAGUUUGAUCCUGGCUCAGGACGAACGCUGGCGGCGUGCCUAACACAUGCAAGUCGAGCGGAGGCAUAUAAGGAGUAAUCUGAGUGUGCCUGAGCGGCGGACGGGUGAGUAACGCGUGAGCAACCUGCCUUCCACAGGGGGAUAACGUACCGAAAGGUACACUAAUACCGCAUGAGACCACGGUACCGAUGGUAGUGGGGUCAAAGGAGCAAUCCGGUGGGAGAUGGGCUCGCGUCCGAUUAGGUAGUUGGCGGGGUAACGGCCCACCAAGCCUAUGAUCGGUAGCCGGCCUGAGAGGGUGAACGGCCACAUUGGAACUGAGAGACGGUCCAAACUCCUACGGGAGGCAGCAGUGGGGAAUAUUGGGCAAUGGGGGAAACCCUGACCCAGCAACGCCGCGUGAGGGAAGAAGGUUUUCGGAUUGUAAACCUCUGUUCUUGGAGAAGAGUGGAAGACGGUAUCCAAGGAGGAAGCCCCGGCUAACUACGUGCCAGCAGCCGCGGUAAUACGUAGGGGGCGAGCGUUGUCCGGAAUGAUUGGGCGUAAAGGGCGCGCAGGCGGCCAUUCAAGUCAGUAGUGGAAGUCCAUUUUUCAAGGGUGGAAGUGCUAUUGAAACUGUAUGGCUUGAGUGCGGGAGAGGUUAUCGGAAUUCCCGGUGUAGCGGUGA
rnacentral:rRNA from 1 species